rnacentral:tRNA from 1 species
GGAGGGGUACCGAAGUGGUCGUAACGGGCUCGACUCGAAAUCGAGUUGGGGGUGCGAGCCCCCACGUGGGUUCGAAUCCCACCCCCUCCGCCA